rnacentral:rRNA from 2 species
CCCGAUAGUGGGGGACAACGUUUCGAAAGGAACGCUAAUACCGCAUACGUCCUACGGGAGAAAGUGGGGGCUCUUCGGACCUCACGCUAUCGGAUGAGCCUAGGUCGGAUUAGCUAGUUGGUGGGGUAAAGGCUCACCAAGGCGACGAUCCGUAACUGGUCUGAGAGGAUGAUCAGUCACACUGGAACUGAGACACGGUCCAGACUCCUACGGGAGGCAGCAGUGGGGAAUAUUGGACAAUGGGCGAAAGCCUGAUCCAGCCAUGCCGCGUGUGUGAAGAAGGUCUUCGGAUUGUAAAGCACUUUAAGUUGGGAGGAAGGGCUGUAAGCGAAUACCUUGCAGUUUUGACGUUACCGACAGAAUAAGCACCGGCUAACUUCGUGCCAGCAGCCGCGGUAAUACGAAGGGUGCAAGCGUUAAUCGGAAUUACUGGGCGUAAAGCGCGCGUAGGUGGUUUGGUAAGUUGGAUGUGAAAGCCCCGGGCUCAACCUGGGAACUGCAUCCAAAACUGCCUGACUAGAGUACGGUAGAGGGUGGUGGAAUUUCCUGUGUAGCGGUGA